UUUUUCUGCAUGCCAUGUUCUUCUUAUCUGUAAAGUAGGAAUGAUAAUAGUACCGACUUAGAGUGCAGCUCUGAGGCUUAGGGGAUGUUCACAUGCAGUGCUUAGAACAGCACCUUGUACAUGGGACUAGCAAAUCAGACCUCUUUGGGAAUGUGCCUGUUCACGAACACCAACCAUCUCCCAGGGAACUCCGGUGGCUGGCGCUUUCUUGCAGCAGUUGAAUAAGUUGCUGUUAGAAGCUGGCACGGCAGGUUCUUGUUUCCGCAUUCCAGACACCCACAGCAGCUGGGGGAGGCACCACCCUAGGUCGGCC
rnacentral:lncRNA from 1 species